rnacentral:rRNA from 1 species
GUGAGGAAUAUUGGUCAAUGGGCGUAAGCCUGACGCAGCAACGCCGCGUGAUUGAUUAAGCCCUUCGGGGUGUAAAGAUCUGUCAGUGGGGACGAAACUUGACGGUACCCACAGAGGAAGCACCGGCUAACUCCGUGCCAGCAGCCGCGGUAAUACGGAGGGUGCAAGCGUUGUCCGGAAUCAUUGGGCGUAAAGAGUUCGUAGGUGGCAUAUUAAGUCUGGUGUUAAAUGCAGAAGCUCAACUUCUGUUCGGCACUGGAUACUGGUAAGCUUGAAUGCGGUAGAGGUAAAGGGAAUUCCUGGUGUAGCGGUGAAAUGCGUAGAUAUCAGGAGGAACAUCGGUGGCGUAAGCGCUUUACUGGGCCGUAAUUGACACUGAGGAACGAAAGCCGGGGUAGCAAAUGGG